UACGUAGGGAGCAAGCGUUGUCCGGAAUCAUUGGGCGUAAAGCGCGCGUAGGUGGCCCUGUAAGUCCGCUGUGAAAGUCAAAGGCUCAACCUUUGAAAGCCGGUGGAUACUGCAGGGCUAGAGUACGGAAGAGGCGAGUGGAAUUCCUGGUGUAGCGGUGAAAUGCGUAGAGAUCAGGAAGAACACCGGUGGCGAAAGCGCUCUGCUGGACCUUAACUGACACUGAGGGACGAAAGCUAGGGGAGCGAAUGGG
rnacentral:rRNA from 1 species